rnacentral:rRNA from 1 species
GUGGGGAAUAUUGCGCAAUGGAGGCAACUCUGACGCAGCCAUGCCGCGUGCAGGAAGAAGGCGCUACGCGUUGUAAACUGCUUUUAACCGGGAAGAAACCCCAGGACGUGUCCUGGGUUGACGGUACCGGAGGAAUAAGCACCGGCUAACUUCGUGCCAGCAGCCGCGGUAAUACGAAGGGUGCAAGCGUUAUCCGGAUGCAUUGGGUUUAAAGGGUGCGUAGGCGGAGCGUUAAGUCAGUGGUGAAAUCCUGCAGCUUAACUGUAGACUUGCCAUUGAUACUGGCGCUCUUGAGUGCGCUUGAAGUGGGCGGAAUGUGCCGUGUAGCGGUGAAAUGCUUAGAUAUGGCACAGAACACCAAUUGCGAAGGCAGCUCACUAAGGCGAUACUGACGCUGAGGCACGAAAGCGUGGGGAUCGAACAGGAUUAGAUACCCCUGUAGUCC